GACGAACGCUGGCGGCGUGCUUAACACAUGCAAGUCGAGCGGUAAGGCCCUUUCGGGGGUACACGAGCGGCGAACGGGUGAGUAACACGUGGGUGACCUGCCCUCAGCCCUGGGAUAAGCCUGGGAAACCGGGUCUAAUACUGGAUAUGACUCCAUGACGCAUGUUGUGGGGUGGAAAGCCUUGUGCGGCUGAGGAUGGGCCCGCGGCCUAUCAGCUUGUUGGUGGGGUGAUGGCCUACCAAGGCGACGACGGGUAGCCGGCCUGAGAGGGCGACCGGCCACACUGGGACUGAGACACGGCCCAGACUCCUACGGGAGGCAGCAGUGGGGAAUCUUGCGCAAUGGGCGAAAGCCUGACGCAGCGACGCCGCGUGAGGGAUGACGGCCU
rnacentral:rRNA from 1 species